rnacentral:rRNA from 1 species
GCCCAGCCGUUGGGUGCGUAGCGCACUCUGUGGUUAAGUUAACGCGAUACGUCGACCGCCUGGGGAGUACGGCCGCAAGGUUAAAACUCAAAUGAUUUGACGGGGGCCCGCUCAAGCGGUGGAGCAUGUGGCUUAAUUCGUUGCAACGCGAAGAACCUUACCUACCCUUGACAUGUACUGAAGCCGGAAGAGAUUCUGGUGUGCCUUCGGGAACUGUAAGACAGCUGAUUCAUGGCUGUCGUCAGCUCGUGUUGUGAAAUGCUGGGUUACGUCCCGUAACGAGCGCAACCCUUGUCCUUAUUUGCCAGCGAGUAAUGUCGGGAACUGUAAGGAGAUCGCCGGUGACAAACUGGAGGAAGGUGGGGACGACGUCAAGUCAUCAUGGCCCCUACGGGUAGGGCUACACACGUGCUACAAUGGCCGGUAUCAAAGGGCUGCGAGCUCGCGAGAGUCAGCGAAUCCUUUAAAGCCGGUCUCAGUCCGGAUCGGAGUCUGCAACUCGACUCCGGAAGUCGGAAUCGCUAGUAAU